GAAAUUUUUUGAAAAUGAAUUCCACAAAAACAGAGUGAUCAUUUAGUUGCAUUUAGAAUCGAGUCUAGAGUGUUUCAUAUAGGAUUGUUGCAUAUGCAUAGGGGAUAAUGAGGAAAUAGCCUUGUAAGCAUGAUGAUUCACUAAAAUGAGUUAUUAGUUCUCUGAGGCAUUUGAAUGAAUUUGAAAUAAAACCGCACCAUGUUCUAUAGAAACCACUCGAUGCAUGUCAUGACACCUUUCCCUGUCAAUUUGAACUUGAAUCUGACUUAUAAUUAUCAUGUUUGCAUCGUUUUUGAACUCGUGGAUAGAAUACAUAUUUGGAUUUUCUUUCACUUAUUCACCACUCUUGUUAAUCCAAGUAGCUGCUUCUAUUAUUGGAGUAGUUCCCCCACCCUUAACCAACCCUUCUUUCAAGCCAUGUUAUUUUGUGAGAGCAUGUGAGGCCUAUUUUCAGGAUUGAGCUUGGUAGAACGUGUUAGGUUUGAGCCGACAAGAGUAGUAUCUCAUGUAGUUCCAAUCCGCGUUUUCGGACUUGGUAGGACUAGGUGGGAACUUAUUUGGGGAUUGAGAUUGAGUGUGAAAAGAAAAAGAAAGAAAAAAAAAUGGGUUAGAGUCUUUAGGAGAAAGAAGCUGAAAAUCAUAUUGUGGUCUAGUGAAUGUUUGAGAAGCAUAGAAUUGUUAAGAUAUGCUCUAAAAAAAUAGAUGGCAACAAAAACAGAAAAAGAAAAAAAA
rnacentral:sRNA from 1 species